CUCAUACUUAACAUCAUUGAUGAAGCAAUCCAUGGAUCCGGUAAGGGUGUCAAGUACCUCGUUCCUCAGUGCAGUCACUUUCACCGCCAUCUGCGCCUCCAUAUCCCUCUGCUUCUUCACUUUGGCAUCCAACUGACGUGCUCGUUCGUCGCUGAUAAGUUGGAAGGCCCUCUUGAGCACUGGCCGCAGCGACUCGUUGUCCGUGAUCCCCUCAACUGCCGAGGCAAGGCUGGGGUACAGGCCCUGCAGCUCCUCGAUCCCUCUGCGUGCCCGUGUGCCCGGAGCCGCAUUGGCAUUGGCAUUGCCAUUGCCAUUACCACUGGCGUUGGUGGCGUGGCUGGCGCCUACUUUCUUGAGCGGCAGGUCGCCCCAAAUCGACCUCGACAGCUCGUACUUGCGCGCCUCAUCGCCGUCACCAGCCCCACCUGCAGCUGCAGGCACCGGCACGCCCCCGGCGGAGCGCCGGUUCGCGUACUUGGUCCGGAGCCGCCGCACCUUCUCGUAGAUCUCCGUGACGGUGAACUCGGACUUGUCCAGGCCGCAGCCGCCGAGCGCGGCGUGGAGCUGGGACCGGCGCGGUUCUGCGCCGUGGGCCGCGGCGUACGCCGCGAGGCCCUCGAGGAUGCGAACUUCGUCCGCCUCCGACCACACCCGCCCGAACGCGAACGCAGGCUUCUUGCCGCCGUUGGUCCCCGGCUGGGACGCCGCGCAUGGCACCACAGCCCCGGCCGCGGCGGCAGCCGUGUCCGAGGUGUGGAAAUCGUCAGCAGCGAGAGAAUGCGGGGCGCUCGUCGGCGGCGGCGGCAUCGUUGGAGUCGACAAGAUUUGGGGGUUUGGGGUUUCUCUCCGCGAUGGUCUCUGAGCGGGGAGGAGGUAAAGGGUUUUAUCUAUUUUUAUUUUCACUUUUUCCACGGCCAAUAUAUCAAACACAUUAUCGUAAAGUGCUUUUAUGUUGCUACACCAACCAGGAUAUAUAUGUUCUACUAGAUAGGAUAGAUGUGAAUCUAGAUUUAGAGCCACAACCAUAGUCUCCAUUUAUGUACUAUUUUAGCUUUUCUAGUAUUUAAAUGUGAAAUGUGAAGAGCAUAGGAAGGUGAAAACUAGUGUAACUAACUUUUAAACAUGAACCUAGGAAUGCCAAUUUUGCAUAUUAUGAAAACUAAAUACAUAAGAAAUAAUUUUUUUGGUCAGCUUGAGUACAGUUUUAGAUCGUUUGUGUAAAAAAUAACUAGAAAAAAGAAAGACCUAAAUUGAAUGAAGGCGCCCACGAGCUAGAUGCAGCCAAUGGUCCACCAAAUAGGGUUAUGUGAGGCCAGCGCUAUGUGGCGGUAAAGCUUCACCCUGGGCCCUUCCACUGACUUUGUGCCCGCAUGCCUACUAGCCUGACAGUACUUGUUGGUGGCCUUUUCUGUUCGGAGUUCCUCAAAACAUUAAUUUGACAAUAGUCUCUAGAUCUGUUUCAGAUAUAACAGGACAAAUUAGUGAGGGAUAUUUUUAUCUGGAGGAAUGUGCGGCCGACAAUCAUGCAAGCACAAAGACAAAACAUCAAGCUUCAUCCGUGCAAUAUGAACAUAUCAACAAAGGAAGGAGAUGAAAUAUUUAAGGCUUGCUCAACACAACUAUGAUGGAAAUGUCGAUAACGCCCUUAAUUGAUUUUGUAGUUCAUGUGUAUAGGACUGAGGGGCAUGAAUGUAAUUUUUAUAAAGUUGUACUUGUUGGUCACUUUUCUCGAUUGCUAUAUGGAAU
rnacentral:misc_RNA from 1 species